rnacentral:rRNA from 1 species
GCUUACGGCCAUACCACCCUGAGAACGCCCGAGCUCGUCUGAUCUCGGAAGCUAAGCAGGGUCGGGCCUGGUUAGUACUUGGAUGGGAGACCGCCUGGGAAUACCAGGUGCUGUAAGCU